CAAUAAAUACCAGGAAACACCAAUCUCUGCAGGGGAUAAAGGCCAAUGCUGAGGAUCAAACAAAGUCGCUGCCGGGAAUAAAAGUUACUGCUAGGGAAAUAAGCAGGAUCACCGGGGAUCAGAGAUUGCUGUUGGGAAUAAGCAAGGGAUCACAAUCACCAAGGCUGGGGAUCUUCCAACAGUACGCAGAGGCAAGGAUAACAUCAGUCAGAGAAGAAAUCUACUGGGAUCUUAUCGGGGGAUGAUGUGGACAUUUGUGGGGAAC
rnacentral:lncRNA from 1 species